GCGUGAACAAAAGAAGAGACCGAUCUCCUUUUGGGUGAGCGACCUAGAACCAUUCUAAGAUUUUUGGGUGAGAAAAAAACAAAAGAGAAGAGAGUCUUCAUCUAGUUUUCUCUACCAUUCAGCAUCCUCUUUUGAUUCAUCUUCGAUAUUGAAAAGGUUCAAGGCGAUUGAAGGAAGAACUCAAAUCAGAUCUGCCGUC
rnacentral:lncRNA from 1 species